GAGCGGCGAAAGGGAUAGUAACACGUAGGUACCUACCUUGGGGACGGGGAUAGCCGCGGGAAACUGCGAUUAAUACCCGAUGAUGUCAGCGAUGAAUAGUCGUUGUCCAAAGGUGUGAUUCCGCCCUUAGAUGGGCCUGCGUCCUAUUAGCUAGUUGGCGGGGUAACGGCCCACCAAGGCUUAGAUGGGUAGCGGGUGUGAGAGCACGACCCGCAUCACUGGGACUGAGACACUGCCCAGACACCUACGGGUGGCUGCAGUCGAGAAUCUUCGGCAAUGGGCGCAAGCCUGACCGAGCGACGCCGCGUGCGGGAUGAAGGCCCUCGGGUUGUAAACCGCUGUCGUAGGGGAGGAAGGCUCCGUGCAGAACGGGGUUUGACCUAUCCUAGGAGGAAGGACGGGCUAAGUUCGUGCCAGCAGCCGCGGUAAUACGAACCGUCCGAACGUUACUCGGAAUCACUGGGCUUAAAGGGUGCGUAGGCUGCGCGGAGGGUGGGAUGUGAAAUCCCCCGGCUCAACCGGGGAAUAGCGUCCCAAACCGCCGUGCUCGAGGGAGACAGAGGUGAGCGGAACUGAUGGUGGAGCGGUGAAAUGCGUUGAUAUCAUCAGGAACACCAGUGGCGAAGGCGGCUCACUGGGUCUUUCC
rnacentral:rRNA from 1 species